rnacentral:rRNA from 1 species
GUCCACGCCGUAAACUAUGGAUGCUAGCUGUGUACCGUAUCGACCCGGUAUGUAGCGAAGCUAACGCGUUAAGCAUCCCGCCUGUGGAGUACGAGCGCAAGCUUAAAACAUAAAGGAAUUGACGGGGACCCCGCACAAGCGGUGGAGCGUGUUGUUUAAUUCGAUGGUAAGCGAAGAACCUUACCCAGGCUUGACAUCCUGUGAAGCACUGCGAAAGCAGAGUGUGCCUUUUGGAGCACAGUGACAGGUGAUGCAUGGCCGUCGU